GACCGCUCUGGUAGCUAAGUGGUUAUAGCGUCCGCCUAGGAUGUGGGAGGUCGCGGGUUUGAAUCCCGGCCGAGUCA